rnacentral:rRNA from 1 species
CCUACGGGUGGCAGCAGUGAGGAAUAUUGGUCAAUGGGCGCGAGCCUGAACCAGCCAAGUAGCGUGAAGGAUGACUGCCCUACGGGUUGUAAACUUCUUUUAUAAGGGAAUAACGUGAGGUACGUGUGCCUUUUUGUAUGUACUUUAUGAAUAAGGACCGGCUAACUCCGUGCCAGCAGCCGCGGUAAUACGGAGGAUCCGAGCGUUAUCCGGAUUUAUUGGGUUUAAAGGGAGCGUAGAUGGGUUGUUAAGUCAGUUGUGAAAGUUUGCGGCUCAACCGUAAAAUUGCAAUUGAUACUGGCAGCCUUGAGUACAGGUGAGGUAGGCGGAAUUCGUGGUGUAGCGGUGAAAUGCGUAGAUAUCACGAAGAACUCCGAUGGCGAAGGCAGCUUACUAAACUGCCACUGACGUUGAUGCUCGAAAGUGUGGGUAUCAAACAGGAUUAGAUACCCUUGUAGUC